rnacentral:rRNA from 1 species
UUGAACGCUGGCGGCAUGCCUUACACAUGCAAGUCGAACGGGCUUUGGGGCUUGCCUCAAAGUUAGUGGCGAACGGGUGAGUAAUAUAUCGGAACGUACCCUUGAGUGGGGGAUAACCAGUCGAAAGAUUGGCUAAUACCGCAUACGAUCUAAGGAUGAAAGUGGGGGACCUUCGGGCCUCAUGCUCCUGGAGCGGCCGAUAUCUGAUUAGCUAGUUGGUAGGGUAAAAGCCUACCAAGGCUUCGAUCAGUAGCUGGUCUGAGAGGACGAUCAGCCACACUGGGACUGAGACACGGUCCAGACUCCUACGGGAGGCAGCAGUGGGGAAUAUUGGACAAUGGGCGAAAGCCUGAUCCAGCCAUGCCGCGUGUGUGAAGAAGGUCUUCGGAU